CCCUCAGCGGCUGAAUGGCUCCCCUCUCCCGCCACGAGACCAGAGGUUCUGAGUCCACCGUCCCGGAGCGACCGGACCCGGAGGAGGACCUGCUGGCCGCUAGACCGCGCCGACGACGACGGUUAAGCAUGGACCAGCCGCCUUCAUUUGAAGCGGAUUCGACCGGAGCGGAUCCAAGCAUGUUUGAGUGCCGUGCACACACACUUACCCGGUGGCCUCGACAGAAAAACAAAUGCGUUCUUGUGUAAUCUCACCUCCAUGAAAUGAUGAACACAGAACAAUGACAAAAACAGCCAUAUAUCCUCUUGCGAUAUAACCGGGGUCCCCGCACACAAACGCCCCAUGCUUAAUAAUCUCUUCCAAUCGAUUAAUCAUUUAGUGGGAGUGAAAUUAGAAAUUGCGCCAGCGUUACAUUGUGUUUAUAGGUUAAAAAUUGACAUUGUUAAGAACCUCGAAGUCCGUUCUUGUGUAAACUCACCUCUGUAACGUUGAACACUGACCCGUUUCUGAUUUGCGUUUUGCGUCGUCUAAAGGUCAGGACCUCGCUUACCUCAGGGCCGGCUCCGUGAAGUAACACGUUCAAACGACAGCAACGUGGUUUCAUCUGGAGUUUUAUUUAUUAGGCUAUCAAUCUCCACAUAAAAUAUAUCGGGUUUUAUUCAGGGAACGGCAUAUGUAAAGGAUAUCACUGUAUUCAUGUUAUGUGUUUGGUCUAGAGAGGUCAGUUGAAGACACGGGUCACAUGAUGACAAGAAUUAUGGAUAUUGUACAUGGUGGAACAACUAUGCAUAGAUAUAUCAGAUAGAUAUAACCAGAUGUUUCCUUUGGAUCAAUACAUUUAACAGAUAGUGAUAAUUAUAGAUCUAUGAUGGUUUACCGCUAUGGAUGAUCAAUAACUCUAUAACAGAUAUAUGAUAAUUAUAGGUCUAUGAUGGUAUAACUCCCAAUAUAAACUGUUUGUUUACCUGUGUUCGAGAGAUGCUUCAUGGACCACCUCCAGAACUCAAGCUGGUUUACCUUGU
ensembl:lncRNA